AUCUCCACUUCUUUCUCCAACCCCACCACUUCCAACUUCUUCUCCACCAUCUCCACCUUCUUCCCCACCACCUCCAUCUUCUUUAAAAUUAAGAAAGAGAAAGAGAGAGAGAGAGAGAGAGAAAGAGAGAGAGAAGAAGAAGAAGAAGGGAGAAAGCUCACCUGAGCUCGUCGCCGGAGCCACCACACGCCAGACCAUUGAGUUCGCCACCACCAUCAUCCGCAACCAAAGCCCAUCAUCGUGUUCCUCUCGUCGAGACGAAGCCGUAGACACCAACCGCGUCACGAUCGGAGCCCGGACGAAGCCGUACGCGCCUCCAGAAAACCGCUCUUCGCGCGCGCGUGAAGCGCACGCGCUGCCGCCGGAAAUCGUCGCCACCGCAGCUCCGCCGCCGGACCACCGUCCGCCGCCGCAGCUCCGCCGUCGCCGCCGGCCAACUUUCCGGUAAGCCACCGCCGCAGCUCCGCCGUCGCCGCCGGUGACCGACACCGGUGACUCACCGGCGACUCGGUCAACUCGGCCGAGUCAACUCAGUGAGUCAACUCGGUUGACACGGUUAACCGAUCGGUUAGCCGGUUUAAAUUGAUUUCGGUUCGGUUAGGGUAAACCGGUCGGUUUAGUCAAAUCGAUUUCUGGUCAAAACUUGACCGGGUUGACUUUGACCAGCGGGUUGACUUUUUCGAAAACCUUGACCAGUUCCGUUUUCGACCGUUCGAAAGGCGUUCUGACUCAGAAUUUCGAUCUGAUUUCAGAUAUGGAGUCUAUUUGAGCAGCUGGAGUUCAUAGACAACACUUUUCUAUUGCUAAGGUGAGGGUCUAUUCCCGAACUUCUCGUACACGGCUUAGGACCUCGAAUAAAUAUAGUUUAUUUCUAAUGUGUUCCGUCUGUGUGAAAUCGAGUCUAUCAUUGCUUGUUUAGUUUUAGGUUCUUUGCAUAAACCGGAACUAGGGGGUUAGAGGAUUCAACAUUGAUUGUUUCACUUAAUGUAAAUUCUUAGCUAGGAUUGUUUUUGUUUGGAGACGGAUACAGAGACGGACUGCUGUAUGCCGGAUUGUAUGGAGGUCACGGCCAACUUUAGUCGACCGGUUGAGCUGUAGACUGGAAGUGUCGAUAAAUCGUCUACGGGCGUGUGUUACCGAGCACUUUUUCGGUGUGUGUAUGAACCGAGCACCUUUUCGGUAGUGUUUUGGCCUGUUAGUGGGCGGCGAGUGUGCAACUCGCUAGGACCAUUGUUUGUUGCUUGAGUACUUUAGGUACUGUGUUUGACAUGCAUUAGAAUUAAAUUAUAUUUAUUCGGAGUGCUAUGUCCGGGUCCAUGGACUUCGGGGUGGCAUCCCAUACCUCACUGAGCGAUUCCCCUGUCGCUCACCCCUCACUCUUCCCCUUUUCAGGUGAGACAAACAAGUAUGUGAUAUUUGGACGGAUUUGGUGCUACUGGACUUUUCUUUCGGAUUUUAUUUGGGCAUGGGUGAGAGUUGUCGGGUUUAUGGGCUUUUAUAUUACGGGAUAUUGUGGUGGCCCGUCGUCCUUAGUGUCAGGGAGACGGGUAUCACAUUGUUGUAUGAUGACGCGUCGGGGGUGACACGCUGUCCUCCAUAUAGGAGGUGACGGGUGUCACAAUUUGGUAUCAGAGCCAGGUUCCAUCCCGGUUCCGUCCGGGAUGGCGGUCAGGGGAUUCGGUUUUCCUCGGUUUUCAACUUAAAAAAAAAAAAACUAUAUAUUUAUUUAUACAUUUUGAAAUUCUUUUAGCACCAUUAUGUCCUGUAAUUACUAACUCAAAUGUCUCUUUCUAUGACGAUGAGUAAAAUCAUCGUCAUUCGUCCUUCGACUAUCAAGGUUCUCGACAGAUGUUCAGCAGUUGCGUGAAGUCCAGGUUCGUCAGUUUUCUCGGGAGUUAUCAGUUUCUUCGGUCAUGAUUUCGAGGCUAUCCAGGAGUGGAUAUGUGACGUUUCUGCCACCAGCCCACUUCAAGCAAUCGUUCCACGAGUUUGUUACUGGAGAUUAUGUGGUGUGUGAUAUGAGCCAUUGGUUGGCAUGUGUUGUUGUGUGUACGAGUAUAUUGACUAUUUUGGAGAUAUAUUUGUUUUGUGAACUCGUGGAGAUCGCUUUUGAAUUGGGGUGCAGCAGCUUGCGUUGUGUGGGUGUUGGAGUUACACUUUGGUAUGUUUACCAAUUUUGGCAGUGUUGAUCGUUUCAGAGAUGUGUCAGUUUGGACAACUGACAUAGGACAUUGGGAGCUAUUUAUAUCCAUCGCAGUGUACCAGUUAUGCUUGGAGGGCCGAUUUGUUCGGAUAUUCAUCAGAGAUGGAGCUACGUUUUUACGACGUUAUCCUUGGGACGGAUUGACUGUCACGGCAUCAAGUAGUGUUGGAUUGCCUGAGGGCAAGAGUUCCGAUUGCUGGAGCAGAUGGAAGUUGUUAGUGCAUGCAUGCUACAUACUGAGGAGUUAUGGGAUACAAGGACAUAGAGAUUUUUGACUACCAUCUCGAUGGUUAAGGCUGAUGGACAACAUGAGCUGCAGGAUCUUCCGGUUAUUGCAGAGUAUGAGGACAUAUUUGUGACCUUUGGAACGGUCACCACAUGACACAUGAGAAACUCUUGCGAUUUGUUUGGAGCAAACAACACCAGUUUCACAAGUUUUAUACCGAUUAGCACCAACAGAGAUGACAAAGCUGAAAGAGCAUGUUGAAGAUUCAUCAGACAAGGGUUUUAUCAGACCGGGUACUUUACCGUGGGGAACAUCAUCAUUGUUGUUGUAAAGAAGAAAGGUGGGAGUUUCAAUUUUGUAUCGACUGCAAAGGUCUGAACAAAGUGACCAUUAAAGAUAAGUAUCGCUUCCGCGCGUUGAUGAAUUAUUGGAUUAUUUAUAGGAAGUUUAUAGUUCUUGAAGGUUGACAUGGCAUCAGAACACCAUCAGAUUACUAUAUUUGAAGAGUAUCUACUGAAUGUGAAUUUUUGUAUACAUUAUGGAUAUUAUGGGACGCAGUGAUACCAUUUGGCUCGACAAAGGCAUCGUUGCAUUCAUGAAGAUAUGAAUGACGUUUUCGUGAACAUUUGGAUAGGUGUGCGAUUGUAUUCAUCGAUGACAUCCUGAUUUAUUUUGGAGUAGAAAGGAGAUUUGUGAGCAUUUUGCGGAUUGCAUUGGAUAAGCCUGGAGAGCAUCAGUUGUUCGCUAAGUUGAGGAAGUGUAGCUUCUGGCAGAGGAAUGUUGUAUUUUUGGAUAACAUGGUUUUGGAAGCAGAAUUUUGAUGGAUUCAAAGAAGAUUAAUACCGUUUCGGGAAGGUCGAAACCUAAGAGCGCUACAAAGAUCUGCCGUUCUUUUUGGGUUAAUAGUGUACUACUGGAAGUUCAUCAAGGGUUUCACCGGUAUAGUAAUGUUAAAGACGCGGUCUACAUGUAAAGACGUUAAGUGUGGUUGGAUAGAUUUUUGUUCGAGGAGUUUCACUGAAUUGAAGCACAACUAAUGAAGACACCAGUUUUGGGUUCUACUGAGGCUGAGGCUUACUGUGAUGUGUCAGAUACUGGAUUGGAUUUAAAUUAAGGUAUGAGGAUUAAGUCAUUCAUAUGCAUCACGCCAGAGAGGCUGUAGUGGUAUUUGCGUUAUCGUUUUGGAGAUCGUAAUUGUACGGGAAGGAAGUUCAGAUUCUCUGGGAUUAUUAGAAUGUGAAAUUUAUCUUCAUUUAUUAAAAACUUGUACUUGGACAGUGCAGUUGGAUUGAGUUUGUAGCAGGCUAUAGUCUGGAUAUCGCAUACUAUCUGGUAAGGACAACCAGGUGAUAAAUGCCUUGGGUAGGCGUAUGAGCUGUAUCUCAGGAACCAAGAAGGUUCAUGAGUUGGAGAUUUGCUAGUCUCAGGUUGGGUGCCAUUACUAUCAAUGGAGAGACAGAUGUCCUUGGGACUUUGGAGCAGACAGUUUUGCUAUGGAGGAUACACAAGCACAAGUUAGCAUUCUGGAUUGGUUGAACAGAUCGAGAUUGGGAGUAUUGGAUAUCAUACAGCUUUGAGCAGGAUAUACUUGUACUGAAACCGAGUUUGUGUGUUGGACGAUAAGUUGUUAAGAAAAGGAAUCUUACAACAAACAUAUCACUCGUGUUUCUCUACCCAUCGGGAAGACCAAAGGGUACAAAGAUAUGAAGAGUUAACUAUAAUUGGUGUAGUAUGAAGAUGUUUGUAACUACAUUACGUCGCGGUGCCAGACGUGUUAUAUGGCAAUGACAGAGGAUCAGUUAUCUAUUAUGUUAUUUUUGAGCUUGCUUUUGCCGGAGUAGAAAUGAGGCAUGGUGAUUAUGGACAUUGUUAUUGGAUUUUAAAUCACCAUAUGUGGAAAGGAUGCCACAUGGGUAGUCAUUGAUAGACUUACCAAGUCAGCCCAUUUCCUAAGUAAUUAAGAAGAUAAUCAGGGCUAAUCAAUUGGAGCAAACCUACAUUAUUGAGUUUGGGAAGUUUCAUGGAUGUCAACAUUGUAUCGGAUUGGGAAUCGAAGUUCACAUCUACAUUUCAGAGAGCCUUUCGGAAGGCACUUGGGACAAAGAUCAUAUGAGUACAUCUUAUCACCCGUUGACAUAUUGUCAGUCAGAGAGGACUACUCAGAACUUAAAUGAUAUGUUCAGAGAUUGCGUGGGAUGGAAUUUCGGAAAGCAUCUACCUUUACCAGAGUUUGCCUACAUCGACAACUAUCUUUUGAGUAUUGAGAAAAAAAAAAAAUUACUAUACGAGGGUUAUUUAUGGUAGACCCUAUAGUAUACCACUUUGUUGGACCAAAGUGGGGUAGUAAUAUGAGUUAGAACUAUUAAUGGUUUAAGAGACGGUAGAGCAGAGGACAUGCUCAAGGAUUGGCUUUCGGAAGCUCAUGACGUCAGAGCAUUUAUGCAGCUAAGCACCGUAAGGAUUUAGAGCUACAUAUGAGCACCUAAUAUACCUGAAAAUAAGGACAUUUCAGGAGGGACCUAAGACUCAGAAGAUAAAGGAGCUUAAACCGAGACACAUGGAAUUGUAUCCUUCGCUGGAGUGGAUUGGAUUAAUUGCUUGCAGUUACUUUAUCAGCAGUAUAUCAGCCUUCUAGUACUUGGUUCAUAUGACAGCAUUGCAAAAGUUGAGAAGGCGCUAUAACUAUUUUGCAGUAGACAUCAAGUGAGUUCAUAAAGAUUUUAUGAACCUUAUCAUCUAUUGGAGAUUUUGGAUCAUCAUGAGAAGACAGUUCGGGGAAUAUCGACUGUGUUUGUCCAAGUUCAUUGGGAGGGAGAUAAGACCCAGGAGGAGACCUGAAAGGUCGAGCGAAGAUUAGUAUUCGAGGUUUUGCUAUGAUGACAUUGGGCACGUCAGCUUAUGACAUGAAUUCGGGGACGAAUUCCUUAUAAGUGGGGGAGAAUUGUAAUGACCCACCACUCCCACCAUCUCCACUUCUUUCUCCAACCCCACCACUUCCAACUUCUUCUCCACCAUCUCCACCUUCUUCCCCACCACCUCCAUCUUCUUUAAAAUUAAGAAAGAGAAAGAGAGAGAGAGAGAGAGAGAGAAAGAGAGAGAGAAGAAGAAGAAGAAGGGAGAAAGCUCACCUGAGCUCGUCGCCGGAGCCACCACACGCCAGACCAUUGAGUUCGCCACCACCAUCAUCCGCAACCAAAGCCCAUCAUCGUGUUCCUCUCGUCGAGACGAAGCCGUAGACACCAACCGCGUCACGAUCGGAGCCCGGACGAAGCCGUACGCGCCUCCAGAAAACCGCUCUUCGCGCGCGCGUGAAGCGCACGCGCUGCCGCCGGAAAUCGUCGCCACCGCAGCUCCGCCGCCGGACCACCGUCCGCCGCCGCAGCUCCGCCGUCGCCGCCGGCCAACUUUCCGGUAAGCCACCGCCGCAGCUCCGCCGUCGCCGCCGGUGACCGACACCGGUGACUCACCGGCGACUCGGUCAACUCGGCCGAGUCAACUCAGUGAGUCAACUCGGUUGACACGGUUAACCGAUCGGUUAGCCGGUUUAAAUUGAUUUCGGUUCGGUUAGGGUAAACCGGUCGGUUUAGUCAAAUCGAUUUCUGGUCAAAACUUGACCGGGUUGACUUUGACCAGCGGGUUGACUUUUUCGAAAACCUUGACCAGUUCCGUUUUCGACCGUUCGAAAGGCGUUCUGACUCAGAAUUUCGAUCUGAUUUCAGAUAUGGAGUCUAUUUGAGCAGCUGGAGUUCAUAGACAACACUUUUCUAUUGCUAAGGUGAGACAAACAAGUAUGUGAUAUUUGGACGGAUUUGGUGCUACUGGACUUUUCUUUCGGAUUUUAUUUGGGCAUGGGUGAGAGUUGUCGGGUUUAUGGGCUUUUAUAUUACGGGAUAUUGUGGUGGCCCGUCGUCCUUAGUGUCAGGGAGACGGGUAUCACAUUGUUGUAUGAUGACGCGUCGGGGGUGACACGCUGUCCUCCAUAUAGGAGGUGACGGGUGUCACAUAAACUAACCAUAAAAAUGUAUGCAAAUACCAAGUUGAUCUACAUACAUGCUGUCUACAGACUA